rnacentral:tRNA from 1 species
AGAGGCUUAGGAUAAUAUUAAACCAAGAGCCUUCAAAGCCCUAAAUGAGAGUGAGAAUCUUUCAGCCUCUG